GGGAGAAUGGCGGAAUUGGUAGACGCACCAGACUUAAAAUCUGGCAUCAGCAAUGGUAUGAGGGUUCAAGUCCCUCUUCUCCCA
rnacentral:tRNA from 1 species